GGAAUCCGUUUCCUCUCCGCAUCUGUGGCAGAGAUGUCCCUGCCCCAACCGGUGGGUGUGCGGAUUCUGUGCGGAUUCGCACGGUGUUUGGCACGUGACAAGGUCUCACUGUGUCACCAAGGCUGGCUCAAUCACAGCUCACUGCAGCCUCGACCUCCUGGGUUCAAGCGAUCCUCCUGCCUCAGCCUCCCAAGUAGCUGGGACUAUAGGGAUGCACCAUCAUGCCCAG
rnacentral:antisense_RNA from 1 species